rnacentral:rRNA from 1 species
CCUACGUGUGGCAGCAGUGGGGAAUAUUGGGCAAUGGACGCAAGCCUGACCCAGCAACGCCGCGUGAAGGAAGAAGGCUUUCGGGUUGUAAACUUCUUUUAUCAGGGACGAAGCAAGUGACGGUACCUGAAGAAUAAGCUCCGGCUAACUACGUGCCAGCAGCCGCGGUAAUACGUAGGUGGCAAGCGUUAUCCGGAAGUCCUGGGGGUAAAGGGCGUGUAGGCGGUAGUACAAGUCAGAUGUGAAAACUCUGGGCUCAACCCCUAGGCUGCAUUUGAAAAUGUAAGUCUUGAGUGCUGUAGAGGUAAUUGGAAUUCCGUGGGUAGCGGUGAAAUGCGUAGAUAUAAGGAGGAACACCAGGGGCGAAGGCGGAUUGCUGGACUGCAACUGACGCUGAGGCGCGAAAGCGUGGGGAGCAAACAGGAUUAGAUACCCCUGUAGUC